UGCUUUUCAGAGCGAUGAGCUUUGUAAAAAAAGCAGCGCGUUUCAGAGAGGCGGGGCAAAGAGGAGAUAAAAACAUGCAUGGUUAGACCUAGUUCCCAUCAGCCCAGCGCGCCGCUCUGGAACGUUCCGCGCGGGAGGCCUCAUGGGAAGCGCAAGGCGGGGGAAAAUGACAACGGAUGCGCACAGAUGCAUUGACUGCCACGCUCACCCGUCGACGGCUUGUACGAUGGCUUGUUCGGGUUGGUUCUGCU